AUUUAAGUAGUUUAAUUAAAAAUAACGUUUUGUGGUAUCGUUGAUAUAAUUCAUUUUAUCUUAAUUA
rnacentral:tRNA from 1 species